rnacentral:rRNA from 1 species
AAUCAACGCUGGCGGCGCGCCUUAACACAUGCAAGUCGAACGAGAAAGUGGAGCAAUCCAUGAGUACAGUGGCGUACGGGUGAGUAACACGUGGGUAAUCUACCUUUUAGUGGGGAAUAACCCUGGGAAACCGGGGCUAAUACCGCAUAAUCUCGAGAGAGGAAAGUCGCAAGACGCUGAAAGAGGAGCCCGCGGCCGAUUAGCUAGUUGGCAGGGUAAGAGCCUACCAAGGCAGAGAUCGGUAGCCGGCCUGAGAGGGCACACGGCCACACUGGCACUGAAACACGGUCCAGACUCCUACGGGAGGCAGCAGUGGGGAAUUUUGCGCAAUGGGGGAAACCCUGACGCAGCAACGCCGCGUGGAGGAUGAAGUCCCUUGGGACGUAAACUCCUUUCGAC